UUCAAAUAGUUUUGGAAUGCUCUUGGGUAUGACCUAUCCAUAACGUGGGUAGUUAGUUCCCUUGUGGCAAUCGCAAGACUGGUCUGUUACAAAAAUUCACCUUAAACCUUGUAAACUAUUGAUUCCCUCAGUUCCGUUUAUUUUUUUUUUCUCCAAAAAAAAAAAACUGGCCCCACAACGUCUUAUUUUUUCGUCAAAAGCUUUCUUACAUGUUUACAUAUGGCGAUUAUGGGUGGAUAUUAUAAAGGUUUUUAUUUGCGGCUUUCUUUUCUGCAUCAAGAAGGCAUGCUAGGAUUGAUUGCCGCAAAAUAUACGCAACCUUAUAUAUUAUCUCCCUAAUAUCGCA
rnacentral:rRNA from 1 species